rnacentral:rRNA from 1 species
UACAGAGGUCUCAAGCGUUGUUCGGAUUCAUUGGGCGUAAAGGGCGCGUAGGCGGCCGUGCAAGUGGAAGGUGAAAUCCCUCGGCUCAACCGAGGAACUGCCUUUCAAACUGCAUGGCUUGAGUCCGGGAGAGGUGAGUGGAAUUCCCAGUGUAGCGGUGAAAUGCGUAGAUAUUGGGAGGAACACCAGUGGCGAAGGCGGCUCACUGGACCGGAACUGACGCUGAGGCGCGAAAGCGUGGGGAGCAAACGGG